CAACAAACUGAACCCCAAAACUCUUUCUAGCAGACGUCUUUUCUCGAUAAGCCUCAAGUCCCGUAGAGAAUAUCUCUGGUGUGGUUAUCAGCUUAGGAUAGAGAUUGAAUUGGAGAUGGAAAUCAACGAGAUUAGCUUGAUUAGGAGAAGGAAACUCCAUCUCUGGCCCUUCAUAAAUAGCGGGAUCCGUACCAGAGAUGCCGCGCUCUUAACCGAAAGCUUUAACCGUCAUCUUGAGUUGAAUUUGGGCGUGGCUUCUCCUCGAGACAUAAUUUUGAAAGAAGGCAUUGCAGGCGGAGUUCAAACCAUUGCAGCAAACAUAAUAUUAAAGGAAGACGUUGCAGCUUGACCACAUCUUUUCUAGGAGUUAAUAAACAUUUCUGCCACCAUCUUGUGCCAAGUAACAGGAACCAGACGACUCCUAUCUCUCUUGUAUUUUGUGGCUGCAGUUUAGUGAUCGAGGGUGAGCCGAGUGAAUGCUGCAAACUCUGUGAUCACGGGUGAGCCAAGUCAAAUACCCUUCUGCCAAAGAUUGCCAUUUUGCCUUCGGGGACACUUUUCUGAUGAUAACUUUGAUGCAGGCAGCGUAACAUCUUAGCUUUGGUGCUGCACAAAGAUUCCUCCAGAGCAGUUUCUUCACUCUGACGCACCGCGAUACAGGCAUAAAAAACAAGUGCAGUGCACCCUCUAGCUUGGACCUUGCUUCCGCCACCCAUACGCAGGACGCACCGCAGUAUAGGCAUCGAAAGAAGGCCGAAAACACCGGUGAGCCCUUUCCCUUGCCGAAAUCUCUUCUCCUCCUUCAUCUCUGUGAACAUGCUUCUUUUUUGUCUCCUUGGACCUGCACUGUUUGUUAACACAAAGGCAAAUGGAGGUGUAUUUGGUUGUUUUGUUUUCUGAUUUUGGUGGGCAACAAUGAGGGAUUUGAGGCUUUGUGAGUUGGUGUUGUUGGCAUAUUUGGCCGGAGUGGUUUGUUUGGGGAAUGGAGGGACUGUUUCUGCCUUUCUGGUGCUUAGAAGUAGAGGCAAGUCUGCACUCACGAAGACAUAAGCAAUAAUAGAGGAAAAUAGCAACGAAGAUCAUGAAGGAAGGACCAGCAGGAUACCUGAAGAUGAAGUACUCCUGUUGUAAAUUUGUCGUCUCCAGCCUUGUGUUUCUUAUAUAGGGGGCAGUGAAGAUUCUAGAGGGCGGGAUAAACAUUUGUUUGAAAUUUGAAUCUCCCGAAGUUCACGAAGAUAAGCUGUUGAUCGGAGACUUCGUCUUUGACUUUGAGAUUGAACUUGGACGCCCUCUGCCACUUUGUUCUUAUCACAAUUUGAAUGCUUUCUUCUGUUUCUUUUUUUCCGUAGCUUAUCCCCACCCAAGGUUGGUCAACCUUUGAAUUUGAGAAACAAAUAAUUUGUAAAUAAAUAUUUGUUUAACUGCUGUCAUUAUCCUCAUCUCUCUCUUUUUUCGAAUAAUUGUGACAGCUACAUGUUUUGUACAUUGUGGGUAUUUUUUUUUAUUAUUCAACACCCAGCAAAGGGUUUCAUUCCCUCACAUCUCUUAAAAGACUCUAUAUCUGGAGUUGCCCCAAGCUACUGUCCAUUCCAGAUGAGGGCAGGCUUCUUUCACUGACACAACUUAGUAUCCAUCAUUGUCCACUACUAGAUUCUAGAAGUGAGAUGCAAAGUAGGUAAAGGUCAGUAUUGGCGCUCCAUAGCCCACAUCCCUUACAUAUGGUUGGGAGACAAGAGAAUUCAAGCUCCGUGAUUACAACUGAUACAAGAGAAAACAGUUGGAAUCUGAAAUUGUAAUAUUCCCUUCCAGCAGAUACUAUAUCUUCUCCAUUUUCAGACAUGUUUUCAGAGCUUGGUGCACUUCAUUGCCAUUGUAGCUGCAGAAAUCAAUAUUAAUCAGUAAAACCUUUUUACCUUCAUGAGUUCUGCCAACUAGCUAGGGCAGUAUUUUACAACGACAACAGCUUGGAGGUCAAUAUUUGAUUUGUACGUUUCUACCCGAAUGUGGGUUAUAAAGGGUCAGGAUUCAGGAGACUCAGCAGUCGAUCAGUACUCAGACUCCCAAAAGAAAAAAAAAACAGAAGAUAUGUAGGGCAAACCCUUGAAGGAGUAAAGCAGCAUGGAAGUUAGAGAAAUUGUCUUUCUAAUGGAGCCUUCUGAUGGCGAAACUGCCGUGGAAUAUAUUGAGUUGCUAUUCAAGAUGAUUGAUUCAAAAAAUGCUGGCAUCUCCUUGAUUGUGCAGGAAUUUCUGUGUACAACUUGAAAGCUAUUUACUUAAGAAGUGGGCAAUGUUGAGUCUCUAGAAAGCAGCCUGCAUACUAGCAUUUGACAUAGAUUCUACCUUCACAUGCUUAUAGACCUAGGACGGAAUUUUUGGGAAAGUACCAAAAAUGCUGGUCCAACUGUUAUCGGUCAUAAGCUGCUAGUUCAUCAAAUACAAUUUGCUUUUAUGAACUCUUGAAUUUCUUAUUGUUAUCUUGGCUUGGUAGUGCUGAAGGAAAUAGUGGAUCAAUGAUUGCAACUAGGAGAUAUUUUGGGUAGUCUUCUGUGGUUUCACAAAACCAGGGGGAGGAGAGACCGAUGUAUAUAUGGAUGAUAAACAUAAU